rnacentral:rRNA from 1 species
UGGGGAAUCUUGCGCAAUGCGCGAAAGCGUGACGCAGCAACGCCGCGUGCGGGAAGACGGCCUUCGGGUUGUAAACCGCUUUCAGUUGGGACGAAGCUCCGUCGGUUAAUAGCCGGCCGGAGUGACGGUACCUUCACAAGAAGCCCCGGCUAACUACGUGCCAGCAGCCGCGGUAAUACGUAGGGGGCAAGCGUUGUCCGGAAUCAUUGGGCGUAAAGAGCGUGUAGGCGGCCCGAUAAGUCCGCUGUGAAAGUCCAGGGCUCAACCCUGGGAUGCCGGUGGAUACUGUCGGGCUCGAGUCCGGAAGAGGAGUGUGGAAUUCCUGGUGUAGCGGUGAAAUGCGCAGAUAUCAGGAGGAACACCAAUGGCGAAGGCAGCACUCUGGGACGUGACUGACGCUGAGACGCGAAAGCGUGGGGAGCAAACA